AGGAGAAAUGGUUCAACCAAUUAUUCAGGCGAACAAUUUGAAUUGAAGCCUGCUCUGAUUAACAAGGUACAACAAUCCAGAUUUGGUGGAACAGCUUUAGAAGACCCACAUGAGCAUAUAAGGACUUUCUUGGAGUAUUGUAACACCCUCAAGCAAAAUGGAGUUUCAUCGAGUGCUAUCAGAUUAUCACUAUUCCCAUUUUCCUUCAGAGAUGGAGCAAGGGUAUGGCUUCACUCAUUGCCUAAACAUCUGAAAGAUACUUGGGAGACCUUAUUGCAGGCAUUUCUUGAGAGAUACUUUCCACCCACAAAAGCUGCCGAAUACAGGGACAAGUUAACAAGGUUUACUCAAUAUGAUGGAGAAAGUUUGUAUGACGCAUGGCAAAGAUUCAACUCUUUAAUCAGAAUGUGUCCUCAUCAUGGUUUAGAAAGAUGGCUGGUGUUACAAACCUUUUACAAAGGAAUGUCCACUCAGACCAGAGCUUUUGUCGAUUCUGCUACUGGAGGAGGAAUCAUGAAUAAAACCCUUGAUGAAGCAUUUGCAUUGAUUGAAAGUAUGGUGUCUCAUCAUUUCCAAUGGUCAAGUGAAAGAGCAAUAGCACCACCACAUCCUGGUGUGUAUAAUGUGUCUGCAAAUGAUAGCAUGGGCAGAUUGACAUUUUGA
rnacentral:rRNA from 1 species